AAAAUUUAUCACCUUUGUAGUCAUUGCAAAGUAAAAUGCUUGAAUAAUUAGAACAUAUCAUUGACUAAUAAUGAGCAGAAUAAUAUAAGAAGAUGUGGUAUGAGUGCCAAUAAGAAAACUUUCCAUCUGUCAUUAUUCGUUAAGUAAACCAUCAUAGGCUAAAAUACAAUCUUCAACACGGAGCAUUGGCUCACACCGAAUAGCAAACACUAAAAAGGCCCCCAAAACGAUAUCCAUGUUACUACUAGUAUAUAUAAUACAAAGAAAAUUAAGUAAACUUAGGUUAUACCGAAGAUCAAAAUUUAAAGCUGCUAAUAUAGUUAUAACCGAAUAUAAAUAUACUUCCAAAGUACUGUAAGUUCUAGUUUGAGAACUGUGUAAAGUUUGUUAAUUCAAACAAGUUACCC
rnacentral:lncRNA from 1 species